GCUUUGAACACUUCCAGGGAUGGGGCAUCCACAGCUUCUCUGGGCAACCUGUGCCAGUGCCUCAGCACCCUCAAAGCAAGGAAUUUCUUCCUAUCAUCUAAUCUGUAUCUACCCUCUUUCAGUCUUCCAG